AAGGUUUUAUGUUAACAAAACAAAUAGCCUUCAAAGCUAUCAAUAGGAGUUUAACCUCCUAAGCCUUA
rnacentral:tRNA from 1 species